rnacentral:rRNA from 1 species
GAUGAACGCUAGCUACAGGCUUAACACAUGCAAGUCGAGGGGCAGCAUGAACUUAGCUUGCUAAGUUUGAUGGCGACCGGCGCACGGGUGAGUAACACGUAUCCAACCUGCCGAUGACUCGGGGAUAGCCUUUCGAAAGCAAGAUUAAUACCCGAUGGCAUAGUUCUUCCGCAUGGUAGAACUAUUAAAGAAUUUCGGUCAUCGAUGGGGAUGCGUUCCAUUAGGUUGUUGGCGGGCUAACGGCCCACCAAGCCUUCGAUGGAUAGGGGUUCUGGGAGGAAGGUCCCACACAUAUGAACUGAGACACGGUCCAAAAUCCUACGGGAAGGAGGAGUGAGGAAUAUUGGUCAAUGGACGGGAGUCUGAACCAGCCAAGUAGCGUGAAGGAGGACUGCCCUAUGGGUUGUAAACUUCUUUUAUACGGGAAUAAAGUGAGGCACGGGUGCCUUUUUGUAUGUACCGUAUGAAUAAGGAGCGGCUAACUCCGUG